rnacentral:rRNA from 1 species
UACGAAGGGGGCUAGCGUUGCUCGGAAUCACUGGGCGUAAAGGGUGCGUAGGCGGGUUCUUAAGUCAGAGGUGAAAUCCUGGAGCUCAACUCCAGAACUGCCUUUGAUACUGAGAGUCUUGAGUUCGGGAGAGGUGAGUGGAACUGCGAGUGUAGAGGUGAAAUUCGUAGAUAUUCGCAAGAACACCAGUGGCGAAGGCGGCUCACUGGCCCGAUACUGAC